AAGAUGAAUACCUUUUUCAGGUAUGAUAAGCAUCAAACGUUUAACUUCAACUCUCUUAGACGGUUUAGGCACAAUGUCAUUUAGCCUUGCGUCUGGGUGUUCUAACUUAGAUGUUUUUCUAUUUCCUAAGACCUAAGCGUUUUCUUAAGCUUUUCUAUGUUGGGGAUUCACAUUGUAGGUUUCCUAUUACCUCUUUCUAAAACAUAUACCAACUAAUUAACACCUUUAACAAAUCAUAAUUCACAUCUAAAGUAGACUCUAAAACUAAAUUUAAUCUAUUUAACCCUUAGCUCAAAAACUGACAUAUCAAAACUCCCUUUUUAAAGUCAAAAUGACUAACAAUUCAAUAUAUAAUUUGUUUCCUCUAAGUUAUAUCAAUUUCAUACCAUCAACCAUUACAACUUCAACCAAACACAAGACUAUAAUCACCUUUUACUAGAUUCAUACAACCACUUUCAUUCAAUCGCAUAUACAUAUCAAAAUAUAACACACAAUUAAAUCAUCAAAAUUAACAUACAUUCAACUUCCAUCUAUUAAUUUCCAAAACAUACUUUGCAACUCAAAUUAAAAGAACACACUAGCUUUUCUUACCUUAAAGAGAACUAUCACAUAUCAACCGUGGUCACCAAACCUUACUUAAAGCUUAAGAAAUCUUAAGAACGUCUACAAAACACAGAAAGGAGAUUAGAGAGAGUCCUUAGAACCUCUGAUCAACAAGGAACCACGAAAAGAGACUAAAACGCACAUGUGACGAGGAAUCAUUAUGCAUGACCUCAACCUAAGAACGAAAGAAAAAAGAAGUUGAAACUUACUUGCUCAUAACAAGAAACUAAUCGGAUAGAAACAUAAAUCUUACUGUUGUGGUCAUUUACUCACCUCCUCAUCGUAAAAAUAUUACUUUGGAAUUAGAAAAGGUAGAGAGAAGGGAAAGAGAACUCNAAAACAGAGUUUUAGAGAGAAGACGAGUGUUUCAAAUAAUGAAACAAAUUUAAAAAAUUAUAUUUAUAUUAUUAAAUUAUNUCAAAAUUAAAAUAAUCGGUCUCUUUAUUUUAAAACACCUAUCUAGUAUUCGCCAUGGCCUCCAAUACCCACCAUCUUCAUCUGAGACUUCCAUAAUCUUAGGGCAGCACCUUCGUUCCUCUCACACAACCACAAUCAUUAUCANCCUUCAUAAUUCUUCACCAAACCAAAUUCAACCCCGAGAUUCACCUCACACACUCAUUUUUCUCUCNAUCACAGAAAAAACGAAAUUAGAACCCCCAGCUCAUCCAUCUUCAUUCAUGGAAUUCUUCCAUCUCCAACACCUCACAAUCACAGCUUCAAGAGCAACACCUCGGCCAUUCCGGAUCCACCAUCAUUAUUUCAUCAUCACCUCCUAAAAACCAAAGAAAACCAUCAUCAUCCACUACACCUAGCCUCCUU
rnacentral:lncRNA from 1 species